CGAGCGUGAGGCUGCAGGGACAGGAGGGCUGUGGGUCUAAGAUGGUCUGGAAUCAGAAGAUUAAGUCCCACAGAGCCCUUUCCGGGCCUCUCUGUUUACGCCGCCGUGCUUCCGCCUGGGCCCAUAAUCACCUCAUCAUUGCUGCUAUUGUCGCCAUGAUUAUUAAGUACUUUAAGACUUGCCCAAGGAGGGUGCAAUCCUUUAAUUAUGUCCCUCCCUGCAUCAUUGUCGGAGGCCAGUUGGAAUCGUUCUCCGUGUUUUGCACAAAAGAAAAUGAAGGCCUGGAUGAGAAAAUGGCAUCAGACAGGGAACAGGACUCGCUCUUGGUAGCAUGGCAGAUUGUUUUCCCUAUCUACUGAUGCAUGACAAAGCACCUCACUACUCAGUGGCUUAAAAACAACAAUUUAGGGGCGCCUGGGUGGCGCAGUCGUUAAGCGUCUGCCUUCGGCUCAGGGCGUGAUCCCAGCGUUCUGGGAG